GAUGAACGCUGGCGGCGUGCCUAAUACAUGCAAGUCGAGCGAACAGACGAGGAGCUUGCUCCUCUGACGUUAGCGGCGGACGGGUGAGUAACACGUGGAUAACCUACCUAUAAGACUGGGAUAACUUCGGGAAACAGGAGCUAAUACCGGCGAAUAUGUUGAACCGCAUAGAUCAAUAGUGAAAGACGGUUUUGCUGUCACAUAUAGAUGGAUCCGCGCCGCAUUAGCUAGUUGGUAAGGUAACGGCUUACCAAGGCGACGAUGCGUAGCCGACCUGAGAGGGUGAUCGGCCACACUGGAACUGAGACACGGUCCAGACUCCUACGGGAGGCAGCAGUAGGGAAUCUUCCGCAAAGGGCGAAAGCCUGACGGAGCAACGCCGCGUGAGUGAUGAAGGUCUUCGGAUCGUAAAACUCUUUUAUUAGGGAAGAACAAAUGUGUAAGUAACUAUGCACGUCUUGACGGUACCUAAUCAGAAAGCCACGGCUAACUACGUG
rnacentral:rRNA from 1 species